rnacentral:rRNA from 1 species
UACAGAGGGGGCAAGCGUUAUUCGGAAUUAUUGGGCGUAAAGGGCGCGUAGGCGGCUUUCCAAGUGACGGGUGAAAUCCCUCGGCUUAACCGAGGAACUGCCUGUCAGACUGGAAGGCUUGAGACCGGGAGAGGUGAGUGGAAUUCCCAGUGUAGCGGUGAAAUGCGUAGAUAUUGGGAGGAACACCAGUGGCGAAGGCGGCUCACUGGACCGGUACUGACGCUGAGGCGCGAAAGCGUGGGGAGCAAACAGG